GAUGAAGAACGCAGCGAAAUGCGAUAAGUAAUGUGAAUUGCAGAAUUCAGUGAAUCAUCGAAUCUUUGAACGCACCUUGCGCUCUUUGGUAUUCCGAAGAGCAUGCCUGUUUGAGUGUCAUGAAAAUAUCAACCUUGACUUGGGUUUUGUGCUCUAGUCUCGGCUUGGAAUUGGGUGCUUGCCGCUUUUACGAGCGGCUCACCUUAAAUGUAUUAGCUGGAUCUGUCUUUGAGACUUGGUUUGACUUGGCGUAAUAAGUAUUUCGCUAAGGACAUUCUUCGGAGUGGCCUCGUUUCUAGGACGCUUGUCCGCUUUCCAAUACAAGUUCCACCUCGUGGACAUGACUUUUUAUUAUCUGGCCUCAACUCAGGUAGGACUACCCGCUGACCUUAAGCAUAUCAAUAAGCGGAGGA
rnacentral:misc_RNA from 1 species